GUGGGAUCCACUUGUGGAGUGGACACGUGCAAAUUUUUAUGAUGAUGCAGCUGUUGUUGGUGAGGAGAGGAAAGGCAUGGAGCUUGCCGUAAGCUUAAGCCUAUUUGCAUCACGUGUCCAGGAAAUCCAUGUUCCUUUACAGGAACAUCAUGAUCUUUUAGUUUCUACCUUACCAGCAAUUGAAUCAGCCAUUGAGAGGUUUGCCAGCAUUUUGAACCAUUAUGAGAUGGUAUCUAGUGAUUUCUAUCAAGCUGACCAAGAAUGAUCAAAACUUAUUCAAUAUGAGUCAUCCGCAAAGUCACUUGUUGCUGAAGCAACCAGCAAUUCAGAAAAAAAACCAUGCCUUGCUUGAAUUACAGGUUCAACAGUUAAGUCAGGAACAGACCAUGGUAAUGGAGAUAGGCCAAGAGGCAGGAACCUGGAUUGAGCAGCAUGGAAGGAUUCUUGAUGCUUUAAGAAGCAGUUCAAUUCCAGAGAUCAACGCUGGCAUAAAGCUGACUGGUUCAAAUGAAGUUUUAUCUCUUGCGGCUGC